GGAGCGGUAGUUCAGCUGGUUAGACUACCGGCCUGUCACGCCGGGGGUCGCGGGUUCGAGUCCCGUCCGUUCCGCCA
rnacentral:tRNA from 1 species